GACCCGAAACCCGGUGAUCUAGCCAUGGGCAGGUUGAAGGUUGGGUAACACUAACUGGAGGACCGAACCGACUAAUGUUGAAAAAUUAGCGGAUGACUUGUGGCUGGGGGUGAAAGGCCAAUCAAACCGGGAGAUAGCUGGUUCUCCCCGAAAGCUAUUUAGGUAGCGCCUCGUGAACUCAUCUUCGGGGGUAGAGCACUGUUUCGGCUAGGGGGUCAUCCCGACUUACCAACCCGAUGCAAACUACGAAUACCGAAGAAUGUUAUCACGGGAGACACACGGCGGGUGCUAACGUCCGUCGUGAAGAGGGAAACAACCCAGACCGCCAGCUAAGGUCCCAAAGUCAUGGUUAAGUGGGAAACGAUGUGGGAAGGCACAGACAGCCAGGAUGUUGGCUUAGAAGCAGCCAUCAUUUAAAGAAAGCGUAAUAGCUCACUGGUCGAGUCGGCCUGCGCGGAAGAUGUAACGGGGCUAAACCAUGCACCGAAGCUGCGGCAGCGACACUAUGUGUUGUUGGGUAGGGGAGCG
rnacentral:rRNA from 1 species